rnacentral:misc_RNA from 1 species
GAUGAAGAACGCAGCGAAAUGCGAUAAGUAAUGUGAAUUGCAGAAUUCAGUGAAUCAUCGAAUCUUUGAACGCACAUUGCGCCCCCUGGUAUUCCGGGGGGCAUGCCUGUUCGAGCGUCAUUUCACCACUCAAGCCUCGCUUGGUAUUGGGCAACGCGGUCCGCUGCGUGCCUCAAAUCGACCGGCUGGGUCUUCUGUCCCCUAAGCGUUGUGGAAACUAUUCGCUAAAGGGUGUUCGGGAGGCUACGCCGUAAAACAACCCCAUUUCUAAGGUUGACCUCGGAUCAGGUAGGGAUACCCGCUGAACUUAAGCAUAUCAAUAAGCGGAGGA